rnacentral:rRNA from 1 species
AAUGUUUGAUGUUCUAACGUUGACCCGUAAUCCGGGUUGCGGACAGUGUCUGGUGGGUAGUUUGACUGGGGCGGUCUCCUCCUAAAGAGUAACGGAGGAGCACGAAGGUUGGCUAAUCCUGGUCGGACAUCAGGAGGUUAGUGCAAUGGCAUAAGCCAGCUUGACUGCGAGCGUGACGGCGCGAGCAGGUGCGAAAGCAGGUCAUAGUGAUCCGGUGGUUCUGAAUGGAAGGGCCAUCGCUCAACGGAUAAAAGGUACUCCGGGGAUAACAGGCUGAUACCGCCCAAGAGUUCAUAUCGACGGCGGUGUUUGGCACCUCGAUGUCGGCUCAUCACAUCCUGGGGCUGAAGUAGGUCCCAAGGGUAUGGCUGUUCGCCAUUUAAAGUGGUACGCGAGCUGGGUUUAGAACGUCGUGAGACAGUUCGGUCCCUAUCUGCCGUGGGCGCUGGAGAACUGAGGGGGGCUGCUCCUAGUACGAGAGGACCGGAGUGGACGCAUCACUGGUGUUCGGGUUGUCAUGCCAAUGGCACUGCCCGGUAGCUAAAUGCGGAAGAGAUAAGUGCUGAAAGCAUCUAAGCACGAAACUUGCCCCGAGAUGAGUUCUCCCUGACUCCUUGAGAGUCCUGAAGGAACGUUGAAG